rnacentral:lncRNA from 1 species
CUUCAUGCCUGGGAUAGCUAAGGAGGAGGUGGUCCUGGGGGGCCACCAGGAGGGCCUCCGGGGGGUCCUGGAGGGCCACCAGGUGGUCCUGGCGGGCCACUAAAAGGUCCAGGUGGUCCCGGCUGGCCACCAAAAGGUCCAGGCGGACCACCAGGAGGUCCAGCAUAAGGUGGAGCUGGGCCUGGUAGAGAUGGAGGUGGAGCAGGCGCAACGGGUGGUGGAGGAGCCGGAGCAGGAGGUCCAGGAGGUGCAUCACCUGGGCCGCCAGGAGGCCCUGGUGGAGGUGGACCGCCGAAGCAGUCUUGGAUCAAC